rnacentral:rRNA from 1 species
GUAACGCGUGAGUAACCUGCCUUUCAGAGGGGGAGUAACGUUCUGAAAAGAAACGCUAAUACCGCAUAACAUCAAUUUAUCGCAUGAUAGGUUGAUCAAAGGAGCAAUCCGCUGGAAGAUGGACUCGCGUCCGAUUAGCCAGUUGGCGGGGUAACGGGCCCACCAAAGCGACGAUCGGUAGCCGGACUGAGAGGUUGAACGGCCACAUUGGGACUGAGACACGGCCCAGACUCCUACGGGAGGCAGCAUG